CCUACGGGAGGCAGCAGUGGGGAAUAUUGGACAAUGGGCGCAAAGCCUGAUCCAGCCAUGCCGCGUGUGUGAAGAAAGGUCUUCGGAUUGUAAAGCACUUUAAGUUGGGAGGAAGGUGUUUAGAUUAAUACUCCUGCGNAUUUUGACGUUACCGACA
rnacentral:rRNA from 1 species